rnacentral:rRNA from 1 species
UACAGAGGUCUCAAGCGUUGUUCGGAUUCAUUGGGCGUAAAGGGCGCGUAGGCGGCGGGGUGAGUCGGGUGUGAAAUCUCAGAGCUCAACUCUGAAAUGGCACUUGAUACUGCUCUGCUAGAGGACUGGAGAGGAGAUUGGAAUUCACGGUGUAGCAGUGAAAUGCGUAGAUAUCGUGAGGAAGACCGGUGGCGAAGGCGGAUCUCUGGACAGUUCCUGACGCUGAGGCGCGAAGGCCAGGGGAGCAAACGGG